rnacentral:rRNA from 1 species
AGGAUGAACGCUGGCGGCGUGCCUAACACAUGCAAGUCGAACGUCCUGUCUCGCAAGAGGCAGGGAGUGGCGGACGGGUGAGUACCACGUGGGUCAUCUACCGUGAGGUGAGGAAUACCGGCGAGAAAUCGCCGACAAGACCGCAUAGGCUCGAUGCAAGUCGAGCAAAGCUCUUUCGAGAGAGGGAGCGCCACACGAGGAGCCUGCGCCCGGAUUAGCUAGCUGGUGGAGUAACGGUUCACCAGGGCGACGAUCGGUAGCUGGUCUGAGAGGACGAUCAGCCACACUGGGAUUGAGAACGGCCCAGACUCCUACGGGGGGCAGCAGUGAGGAAUUUUCGUCAAUGGGGGCAACCCUGAACGAGCAACGCCGCGUGCAGGAAGAAGGUUUUCGGAUCGUAAACUGCUUUUCUCGGGGAAGAGAAUGGACGGUACCCGAGGAAUCAGCCCGGCUAACUACGUGCCAGCAGCCGCGGU